rnacentral:rRNA from 1 species
UCGAGCGAAGACUUCGGUCUUAGCGGCGGACGGGUGAGUAACGCGUGGGAACGUGCCCUUCACUGCGGAAUAGCCCCGGGAAACUGGGAUUAAUACCGCAUACGCCCUUCGGGGGAAAGAUUUAUCGGUGAAGGAUCGGCCCGCGUCUGAUUAGGUAGUUGGUGGGGUAACGGCCUACCAAGCCGACGAUCAGUAGCUGGUUUGAGAGGAUGAUCAGCCACACUGGGACUGAGACACGGCCCAGACUCCUACGGGAGGCAGCAGUGGGGAAUCUUGGACAAUGGGGGCAACCCUGAUCCAGCCAUGCCGCGUGAGCGAUGAAGGCCCUAGGGUUGUAAAGCUCUUUCGCCAGGGAAGAUAAUGACGGUACCUGGUAAAGAAACCCCGGCUAACUCCGUGCCAGCAGCCGCGGUAAUACGGAGGGGGUUAGCGUUGUUCGGAAUUACUGGGCGUAAAGCGCGCGUAGGCGGACCUUUAAGUCAGGGGUGAAAUCCCGGGGCUCAACCCCGGAACUGCCUUUGAUACUGGGGGUCUUGAGGUCGAGAGAGGUGAGUGGAAUUCCGAGUGUAGAGGUGAAAUUCGUAGAUAUUCGGAGGAACACCAGUGGCGAAGGCGGCUCACUGGCUCGAUACUGACGCUGAGGUGCGAAAGUGUGGGGAGCAAACAGGAUUAGAUACCCUGGUAGUCCACACCGUAAACGAUGGAUGCCAGUCGUCGGGUAGCUUGCUAUUCGGUGACGCAGUUAACGCAUUAAGCAUCCCGCCUGGGGAGUACGGCCGCAAGGUUAAAACUCAAAGGAAUUGACGGGGG